CAGUGGCCACAUGAUCAUCUGCAAAGAGGAGGAGAUUGGGGGGAGUCUCCACAAAGAUUUUGGGAGGGAGGUGUGAAGGUACCCCCAGCCCUACUCUCAGUGCCUUUCCCAGAAAAAAAAACCCCCAAGCUUCCAGUGGUGUCGCCUGCUUGGAAAAUGAGUGUGGUGGAGGUAAAUCCCUGAAGCGGGGAGGUACGAAGGGAGGUGGAUGGCUGUGGAACGGGGUGAUCUGCAGGGUCAGAGCUGUUUUGGGGCACCUCAUCACUGGGAACAGCGAGCAUGGAAACCCUGGAUGCACUGUAGAAGGGAGCCCUGAGCCAGGGUGGCUGUGAGGACUUUGGGACCCACCUGGUUCUGCAGGUAUCUUGUCUCCAGGUUAUACAGGAAAACCGCCUGCAAAGGAAGUUUUGGACAGGAUGAGCCAGUGCUGAGCUGCAGGAUGGGGACAGCCUGUCCCCGUGUGCAGGUGGCAUCCAGGGUGCCCACGGGCACUCACCGGGAGAGCAGGGAGAAAUGCAUUCACGUAGUUCUGGGUCAUCCUGGGGGCACACAGAGGGGCGUCAGGGAGGGGCAUGGCCAUGGCCACCCUCCUCUCAGCCCCUCCACACUGCGGAGGGAUGAGGGGACCACCCAACCUGGAGACCUCGGGGUCCUGCCUCAUGGCCAGCAUCAGCUCCUCGACGUUGAUGAGCAUGGCGCAGCAUGGGAAGCAGCAGAGGAGGAUGAUGAUGGUGGCACGCUGCAGGAUCACCCCCACGCGCAGCAGGUUCUUGCUGCCAUAGGUCUGCAGGGUGAGAGGGCAGCAGUGAAAUCAGCUGGUGCUGGGGGGAAGGGGGCCCUGAAGAGCAGCCCUGACCACCCUGGAAACCUCCUGGGAAGGAUUCGGAGCACGGAUCUCCCCGUUAUGGGAAUGUUACCUGGGGAUAAGCUUCCCCAGCUCGCAGGAGCAGCCAGGGAUCCACGUGGUGCCUGGGCACCCUCAGCUGAUGCUGGAAACCCCCCGUGUCCCCAGGACAGGAGCCAGCAUGUCCUACCCACCUGUGAUAUCAAGGUGUCACACGCUGAAGUCAAACCGUAACCUACAGAGAUGGCAGUGACAUUUAUGACCUGGGAGUUAAAAAAAACGAGGAGUGAAGCAGGGAGGGAGUGGUGCCCGGCCGGGGGAACGCUUACAGCGAUGGCCAGCGUGACAGAGGCCAGCUCAACCUUGCCCAGGUGGCCACAGAAUAUGGAGCUGACAAGGUGGAUCAGGAAGAUCAGCAGCUGGAUCAGGAUCUGAGCACGGAGAGGAGCUGAAGGUUAGGGAUGGAGGCCACCGGCACCAGAAGAGCUGUGGGGUGACAGGGAGGUGCCACACAUCUGUACGAGGCUGUGACCUCCCAGGGCCCAGACUCGGCCCGUCGCAGUCACCCAGCUGCAGGACUGCACCGACCUGUGCACAGCAGUGCAGUGAUGCAGGAGGUCUUGGCUUGCUCCACAUCCCCUGCUCCCAAGGCAUUCCCCACUCUGACACUGGCAGCCACGCUGAUGCCCAGGGGCACCUGAGAAGCAGGAGACAAGAGGAGGGGAGCUGGAGCAAUACGUACGGACACAGCCAGGGUGACAGCAUCCAGCUCGGCUUUCCCCAGGUGGCCACAGAAGAUGGAGCUGACCACGCUGAUGAGGAACCCCAGCAGCUGGGCGAAGAACUAGGAGG